AGAACCAUCAAACAAAUGGACUUCUAUGGAAAUAAAUCCAUCUACUAAUAUCAACAACUUAUCAGAAUUUCAUGGUUGGUGUUGGUCGUUCAUCAUUCGUCCCUUUUGUUUGGCAGUGAUGAUAAUAACUGUUCUGGUGAUCAGCAGAUGGAAGAAAACAAAAGGAAAUAAAUCAACAGAAGAAGAAUAAAGUCAAGUCUCCGAAACUUUGACAUACAGCUCUGUGAAUAAAGCUUCUGCUCAGACUACCAUUGAUCCAGACAGCCUCUACUGAAGCAUCAGUAAAUACGUGACAUUAAAUGUUUUAUAAAUUAGAGAAUCAGUCUGGAAAUACCACCACCUAACAGUGAGCCCCUCUAGUGGAGAAAAGCCUAAAAUACAGACCCUACUCUGAAUCAUUUGUGAACUUGUCAGCCAGAGAGACGGAGAGGAACAAUGAUCACUGCUAGAAAGAGACAAACAUCUUUAUUUCUGAUACUGAUGUUUCACC